UUGUAUUCACGAGAAAUAGUUCAAGUUAGUCUAGGAGAAAUUUAAAUAAAAAAGUUACUAUUUUUUGUCUCAGAAGAGCUGUCAAAUUUGAGCAAAGCUGUCGAUGAUUAUUGUAUUAGUGAUGAUUCCGUUUUGUUCAUGGCGGCAUUAGGCCUGCAUUUCGGCUUUAUCUGCUAUCUUUCAUCGAGAGAAUGCUGCAUUACUUAUCCGAAAAAUUCGCCUCUAAAUCACUUAAAAAUGAAAAUCUCAAUUUGUACCCCUUUCUGAAGUAGUUUUAGACAAGCAAAGCUCAAGGGUAUCCCUUUCAGUUUCAUAAUUUUCAUAUGGAUGAAUUGCUCUACAGUCAUUUAACUUCUAUCUUUGUUCAGAAUGCUUUUGGAAAAUUUACACAAACACUACAGAUAUAUUUACGAGUGUAUGAACACUAAUAAAAAAAAAAAAAAAAAAAAAAAAUUUGAGGAGAAAAGUGCUAUAAAGUUGUGCUACAUUUCAAAGUGGUUGGGCUAUGAAAAACCUGCUUUGGAAGCUCUUUGAUAAACGUUUUCAAGAUUGCUUCAACAUUGUUUGGUUCUGCCAUCCUUCUAAAACCGACAAUGCUCUUAACUUAGAAAUGGAGAGCAAUUUGAAGAAAUGACUUUAAAUCUUUGUGUAUUGAUCCCUAAUCGAAUUGUUUGAGAUAUACCAAUUUAGAAGUGAAAGAAAUUGCUUUAUCAAUUGAAAGCGGUCAAAUUAGUGUAUUACCAAAUCAUGCCCCUAUAGCUAUAGAUAGAUUUCAAGAAUAUGCUUCAACAACUAAUGGUUAACAAUGACUCUGAUGGUUGAUUUUUCUAGAACACGCAAUAAUGAGAUUGAUGAUUUAGUAAAUUGUGCCUUCAAAUAGAUGAAAGUAAUUUCAGAAAAGAUGAAGGAAAUAGAGAAAUAAUUGAGGCAAGUAGACGUUGUUAAGGUGAUUUCAUCAUUAGUUGGUGCGUUCGAAUAAUCAAAAGAAGUUAUGUUAUUGAGCCUAUUUUGAUAGAAUUAUGUCAAGUGAAUCCAAUCAAGUAGACUCCACUACAAUGAAAUAAAUAAGAUAGAUAAUCAAUAAAAAUAAAAGAGGAUGGAUCGACAACCUUACGAGGUGACACUAACUAUAGUAUUUAGUAAGUUAUACAUAGUAUUGGAUUUGAAUCAAUCACUGCCAUCACAUGAAAGCAAAACUCUAACCACUUAGUUAAGUACGCCAUUUAUCUCCUAAAGAUAACCAAACGGAACCCAUGUUAUCGAUGGAUUAUAGAUAUCAUAUUAUUUAUGAACAAUACCACUAAAACAUAGAAGAUGUUGGAUCAUAGAACAUUCAUAUCGACAAAAAAUAUCUACAUGAUAAAAUAUGUAUCACAAGCACAAAAGGCUAUAACUCAAUUGGUAGAGCACCUCAUAUACACGCACUCCAAUAUUUUUCACGUUCAUAGAGUACAUCUACAUUUUUGCUUUAUGAAUAUAAUAAUUUUUGGGCAUUUUAAUAACAUCAAGUCUUAUUCCUAUUUAGGCAUUCUUCGUUUUGGAGAUCUUAGCCCCAAUUAGUACAGGGUGGGAGAAACUUUCUAGUUAUGACUCAUAUCCUUGGAUAAAUCAAUGGGUGACGCUUGAUUACGAUUUCGAAUCGACUAUUAUUUUUUAGCUCAAGUUUUUGUGGAUUUUGAUGUUGAAACGGUUGUAUGAGAGCGCGCACGCAUGGUAGCUAUAAAAACUAGAAAUGUUUGUAUGGUUACUCUAGACCCUUCUGUGAAGCGUGCAAUGUCAAAGGUUGAUUGAACCAAAAACUGCAACUACUAUUUGUUAAAGAAAUGUAACAGUUACAGAGAAAGUAUUGAGUGAGAAGAAUUAACAUUUUGCAGAUUCUCCCACUCUGCUACACCACCUCCUAAAAUGGAUUUGGAUCCUCACCCUUACUGUGAUAGGGAAAGCAUCAAUUGCAAGGACGUGAAGGAAAAUUUGGACAUGGCUGCACUGCUGAUUCAUCCCUUGAGCAAAGCUAUCGAUGAUUAUUGUAUUAGUGGGACAAUGAAGAAAAAUCCUUACAAGUUUCUCAGUGUAGUAGACGUCAAGGUUUGACAGCCUUUUACAGACCUGAAUGUACUUUUUACUCUGUAAAUAUGUAAUCCUUAUUAUUCAGAAAAAUUAAAGCUGAAACAAUAUAAACAAGGAAUUUGGCCUUAGCACAA
rnacentral:lncRNA from 1 species